rnacentral:rRNA from 1 species
CCCUUAGAGUUUGAUCCUGGCUCAGAACGAACGCUGGCGGCGCGCCUAAUACAUGCAAGUCGAGCGAGAAGACGUAGCAAUACGUUUGUAAAGCGGCGAACGGGUGAGGAAUACAUGGGUAACCUACCCUCGAGUGGGGAAUAACUAGCCGAAAGGUUAGCUAAUACCGCAUACGACUCUUGGUCUGCGGAUCGAGAGGGAAAGCGAUACCGUGGGUAUCGCGCUCUUGGAUGGGCUCAUGUCCUAUCAGCUUGUUGGUGAGGUAAUGGCUCACCAAGGCUUCGACGGGUAGCUGGUCUGAGAGGACGAUCAGCCACACUGGCACUGCGACACGGGCCAGACUCCUACGGGAGGCAGCAGUAAGGAAUAUUGCGCAAUGGGCGACAGCCUGACGCAGCGACGCCGCGUGGGGGAUGAAGGUCUUCGGAUUGUAAACCCCUUUCGGCAGGGAAGAUGGAACGGGAAACCGUUCGGACGGUACCUGCAGAAGCAGCCACGGCUAACUUCGUGCCAGCAGCCGCGGUAAUACGAAGGUGGCAAGCGUUGUUCGGAUUUACUGGGCGUACAGGGAGCGUAGGCGGUUGGGUAAGCCCUCCGUGAAAUCUCCGGGCCUAACCCGGAAAGUGCGGGGGGGACUGCUCGGCUAGAGGAUGGGAGAGGAGCGCGGAAUUCCCGGUGUAGCGGUGAAAUGCGUAGAGAUCGGGAGGAAGGCCGGUGGCGAAGGCGGCGCUCUGGAACAUUUCUGACGCUGAGCUCGAAAGCGUGGGGAGCAAACAGAUUAGAUACCCUGGUAGUCACGCCUUAAACGAUGGAUACAAGUGUCGCGGGUUACCGCCGGUGCCGCAGCUAACGCAGUAAGUAUCCCGC